UACGUAGGGUCCGAGCGUUGUCCGGAAUUAUUGGGCGUAAAGGGCUCGUAGGCGGUUUGUCGCGUCGGGAGUGAAAACACGAGGCUUAACCCCGUGCCUGCUUCCGAUACGGGCAGACUAGAGGUAUGCAGGGGAGAACGGAAUUCCUGGUGUAGCGGUGAAAUGCGCAGAUAUCAGGAGGAACACCGGUGGCGAAGGCGGUUCUCUGGGCAUUACCUGACGCUGAGGAGCGAAAGUGUGGGGAGCGAACAGG
rnacentral:rRNA from 1 species